UUCCGGGAGUAGAUCAAAUUGAUUUUCACACUGCAUUUCCUACGAUCAAGAGAAAACAAGAUAUUGAUUAUUUCUGGAGUAAUCAGUAAAUAGAGGAUAGGCUUAGUUCAAUGUAGAAUAUGUCAAUAAUGUCAAACAAACACUUUGACGGGAGUGUUUGAGAGAAGCUUUAUAGAGCUGAUGCUAUAUUUUCUUAAAAAAUGAACUCUGCAAUUUACUGCAACUGAAAAGAUUGUGUUUAUGAUUUGUAACUUUAUGAGGCGGAUAUGGCCGUUGGUCAUGAUGUGUUAGUUGUGUUGCUGGCGGUAAUAUGCUGUGUUGGAGAGUGCAAGAAGAGGAAUGUUCUUCUUAUUAUCGCGGACGACGCAGGCUUCGAGACGUCGGUCUAUAACAACACCGUGGUCCGUACGCCUCACUUAGCCGCCCUGGGUCGACGCAGCCUGGUGUUCCAGAAUGCCUUCACCUCCGUUAGUAGCUGUUCUCCCAGCCGAUCCACCAUACUGACAGGCCUGCCGCAGCAUCAGAAUGGUAUGUACGGCCUGCACCAGGGAGUCCAUCACUUCAACUCGUUUGACGGAGUACAAAGCCUACCUCUACUGCUGGGCCAAGCUAACAUACGCACAGGGAUCAUUGGGAAGAAACACGUAGGCCCUGGCCCUGUCUAUCCCUUUGACUUCGCCUACACAGAGGAAAACAACUCUGUACUUCAGGUGGGUCGUAAUAUCACCCGGAUCAAACUACUGGUCAGGAAGUUCUUCCAGACCCAGAGAAAGGAAGAGGAAGAGAGACCGUUCUUCUUGUAUGUAGCGUUCCAUGACACCCACCGCUGUGGACAUUCCCAGCCGCAGUACGGAGCGUUCUGUGAGAAGUUUGGGAACGGCCAGAGUGGAAUGGGGAGGAUUCCAGAUUGGAAGCCAGAAUACUACACCCCAGACCAAGUCAAGGUGCCCCACUUCGUCCCAGACACCCCUGUAGCGAGAGCUGAUUUGGCUGCCCAGUACACUACAGUUAGCAGACUGGACCAGGGUAUUGGUCUGGUGCUGGCUGAGUUGAGGGAGGCUGGUUAUGAGAAUGACACCUUGGUGAUCUACAGCUCUGAUAACGGUAUCCCUUUCCCCAACGGACGCACCAACCUGUACGGAUCAGGCACCGCAGAACCCAUGUUGGUGUCAUCACCUGAACACAGGGAGAGAUGGGGAGGAACCAGCCAGGCCUAUGUCAGCCUACUGGACAUCACCCCCACCUUACUGGACUGGUUCUCCAUCCCGUACCCCUCAUACUGCCUCCCGGGCACCUCUACCACCCCUGUCAGCCUCACAGGCCGCUCCCUCCUCCCUGCCCUCAUCGCUGAACCCUCACCCGCCGCCUGGCACACCGUCUACGCCAGGUAAAACCCUCACCCGCCGCCUGGCACACCGUCUACGCCAGGUAAAACCCUCACCCGCCGCCUGGCACACCGUCUACGCCAGGUAAAACCCUCACCCGCUGCCUGGCACACCGUCUAAGCCAGGUAAAACCCUCACCCGCUGCCUGGCACACCGUCUAAGCCAGAUAAAACCCUCACCCGCUGCCUGGCACACCGUCUAUGCCAGGUAAAACCCUCACCCUCCGCCUGGCACACCGUCUACGCCAGGUAAAACCCUCACCCGCCACCUGGCACACCGUCUAAGCCAGGUAAAACCCUCACCCGCUGCCUGGCACACCAUCUACGCCAGGUAAAACCCUCACCCUACGCCUGGCACACCGUCUACGCCAGGUAAAACCCUCACCCUCCGCCUGGCACACCGUCUACGCCAGGUAAAACCCUCACCCGCCGCCUGGCACACCGUCUACGCCAGGUAAAACCCUCACCCUCCCCUGGCACACCGUCUACGCCAGGUAAAACCCUCACCCUCCGCCUGACACACUGUCUAUGCCAGGUAAAACCCUCACUUGACGCCUGGCACACCGUCUACGCCAGGUAAAACCCUCACCUGCCGCCUGGCACACCGUCUACGCCAGGUAAAACCCUCACCCUCCGCCUGGCACACCGUCUACGCCAGGUAAAAACCCUCACCCUCCGCCUGGCACACCAUCUACGCCAGGUAAAACCCUCACCCGACGCCUGGCACACCGUCUACGCCAGGUAAAACCCUCACCUGCCGCCUGGCACACCGUCUACGCCAGGUAAAACCCUCACCCUCCGCCUGGCACACCGUCUACGCCAGGUAAAAACCCUCACCCUCCGCCUGGCACACCAUCUACGCCAGGUAAAACCCUCACCCGCCGCCUGGCACACCGUCUACGCCAGGUAAAACCCUCACCCGCCGCCUGGCACACCGUCUACGCCAGGUAAAACCCUCACCCGCCGCCUGGCACACUGUCUACGCCAGGUAAAACCCUCACCCUCCGCCUGGCACACCGUCUACGCCAGGUAAAACCCUCACCCUCCGCCUGGCACACCGUCUACGCCAGGUAAAACCCUCACCCUCCGCCUGGCACACCGUCUACGCCAGCCAGUCCCUCCAUGAGGUGACCAUGUACUACCCUAUCCGCUCCAUCCACCAGGGGGCGCACCGCCUGCUCCACAACCUCCACUACCGCA